rnacentral:rRNA from 1 species
GGGAAAAGCUCAAAUUUUGAAUCUGGCGUCUUUGGCGUCCGAGUUGUAAUUUGUAGAAGAUGCUUCGGGUGUGGCUCCGGUCUAAGUUCCUUGGAACAGGACGUCAUAGAGGGUGAGAAUCCCGUAUGUGACUGGCUGCCUUCGCCUAUGUGAAGCUCUUUCGAC